rnacentral:rRNA from 1 species
AGGUAGAGCACUGUUUGGGCUAGGGGGUCAUCCCGACUUACCAACCCCAUGCAAACUCCGAAUACCAAUGAGUACUAUCCGGGAGACACACGGCGGGUGCUAACGUCCGUCGUGGAGAGGGAAACAACCCAGACCGCCAGCUAAGGUCCCCAAAUAUUGCUAAGUGGGAAACGAUGUGGGAAGGCUAAGACAGCUAGG